rnacentral:rRNA from 1 species
AUGGACCUGCGUCUUCCAGUGUCCACGGCCUGCCGGCGUCCUUCCCGGCGCUGCCCCGGCUGUCGUGCUCCGAUUGCUGCAUCCUCUCUCGUCUUCGGCUCGCUGGCGUUUCGUCGGCUACGCCCCGACAACUUGGAGCUGCGUUCCCUUUUCCGGUUCCUAGCUUGUUGGUGGCGUCGGUUGCCAUCCCAUCCUCCGCGUCAGCUCUCUUUACCACGCCGCCUUUCUGACCCCGUCCACCUCCAUGCCAUGCUGGUCCCAAAGCUCAUGUUUUCUCGGCGAUGCCCGGUGCCUCCCGCUCCGGUGGAAAGCGCAGCCCCACCCUCCUUUUGA